AAUGGUGUUGCUAGAUUAUAUGGUAGUUCUCAUUUUUUGAGAAAUUGCCAUACUAUUUUCCACAUUGGCUGUACCACUUUACAUUUCCACCUUCAGU
rnacentral:pre_miRNA from 1 species